GAUAAGGUGGCUGAAUUUUAGGUUGUAAAUUGUAAAUUUAUUUAUGAGUAAUACUCUCUUGUCA
rnacentral:tRNA from 1 species